CCUACGGGAGGCAGCAGUGGGGAAUAUUGGGCAAUGGGCGCAAGCCUGACCCAGCAACGCCGCGUGAAGGAAGAAGGCUUUCGGGUUGUAAACUUCUUUUGUCAGGGACGAAGCAAGUGACGGUACCUGACGAAUAAGCCACGGCUAACUACGUGCCAGCCGCCGCGGUAAUACGUAGGUGGCAAGCGUUAACCGGAUUUACUGGGUGGAAAGGGCGUGUAGGCGGGACUGCAAGUCAGAUGUGAAAACCACGGGCUCAACCUGUGACCUGCAUUUGAAACUGGAGUUCUUGAGUACUGGAGAGGGAGAUGGAAUUCCUAGUGUAGCGGUGAAAUGCGUAGAUAUUAGGAGGAACACCAGUGGCGAAGGCGGUCUGCUGGACAGCAACUGACGCUGAGGCGCGAAAGCGUGGGGAGCAAACAGGAUUAGAUACCCGUGUAGUC
rnacentral:rRNA from 1 species